CCAAUGGUGUGAGCCUUAACUUUCCAAUCUGGCUGGACAGCAGGAUGGUUUAUUAAAAGCUGUUUAUGUGUUUACCCUUUGAGUAGGUGUCAAGAAGCUAUGGCACUUGGGAUUCUCACAUAUCGCCCUCUUGUCAGGUCUCCUUUUUAAUUUCUUGUAUUGAAACCUGUUCCGUUCCAGUCCUCUGGAUCACUGCAGCUACCCAAUAUAGUGAAACUAAUUCUACAUCUGCAGAAAAUAAUGCCCAAUGACUGAUCCCGUUUACGGAACGGGGUUAAAAAAACAGAAGGCAAUGAAGCUGGAAUAAGCUUGAGUAACCUGAAACACACCUGGAA
rnacentral:sRNA from 2 species